rnacentral:lncRNA from 1 species
AUGAGAACAGAGAACAAACUAUACAAUAAUCUUAAAGUCCUCGUCCAGCUCAGAUCUGGUUUGCUAAAAGAGGUAAUAAAUGCAUUAGAGGCAGCAGUGGAAGUAGAUGCUCCUCCCUUUGUGAAAAGAACAGAGUUUUCUGAGCAGGUGGUUGCUUCAGGUUUGCAUCCUUCUAAAAAUUUUUGACUGUGAAAGAGACUUGUUUAUUUGUUUUUAAACUACAUCUGUUGUGGCUCCUUUCAUGUCCUUCUACUGUCACAUUCUCCUUAGAAGAAGUUUUUAAAAGAUGUCAUUCACCACCUUCAUCUUCUGUUUCUUUUAACUUGCUGCUUAUGAACAACAUUUUGAACUCAACAAAUGUCUAGCUGCCUACUCACAGACUCCUUUUUAAGUAGUUUCAUUUUUAUCUGAAUGAUAAAUUUAAACAGCAACAUGAACUAGGGGCGCUUAAAACUGCUGUUGGUACUACUGGU